UGAGGAAUAUUGGUCAAUGGGGGCAACCCUGAACCAGCCAAGUCGCGUGAAGGAUGAAGGUCUUAUGGAUUGUAAACUUCUUUUACACGGGAAUAAAUUGGGGGACGUGUCCCCUUUUGCAUGUACUGUAUGAAUAAGGAUCGGAUAACUCCGUGCCAGCAGCCGCGGUAAUACGGAGGAUCCGAGCGUUAUCCGGAUUUAUUGGGUUUAAAGGGUGCGCAGGCGGGAUGUUAAGUCGGCGGUGAAAUUUUGCAGCUCAACUGUAAAAGUGCCUUCGAUACUGGCUUCCUUGAGUGUGGAUGAAGUAGGCGGAAUUUGUGGUGUAGCGGUGAAAUGCUUAGAUAUCACGAGGAACUCCGAUUGCGCAGGCAGCUUACUAAGCCACAACUGACGCUCAUGCACGAAGGCGUGGGGAUCAAACA
rnacentral:rRNA from 1 species